rnacentral:lncRNA from 1 species
ACAUCUCUUUUGCAGGUUGUUCUUCACCUGACAGGUAAAAGGUCUAAAGCAUCCUUUGCAUAUUGUGUGCAAAUCUUCUUUUCAUAUGUUACUGAUUGUUUCAAAUAUUCUGGUAGCAUCUUUAUGUUAGGCAAAGGACCAACGGUUAUAGGAUUCUUCUGUUGUAUGAUGUUUUCCAUCACGAUAUGCAUACCAUCCAAUUAUUUCCAUAAAACAUGCCAAUUUAAUAUUUCCACAAUUGGAUGACACGAUUUUCAUAAAUUGAUGUGUUUAUGGUACAUUCUAGGAGGACUAAAUAGUAAUUUUUUGACUCAAUUGUAUGGUUGAAGUAAGGUAAAAUGAUUGCAAACUGCAUAUGAUUUUAGAACUUAAAUUUACCUAUAUGUUAGUCCAAGUAAAACUCCUGCGACAAUGCUUGCAUACAUUGCCCCACCAGACCCAAUUAUUUGCCUAGCUACUUAAUCCUAUACUGAACUAUUAAUGAGGGAACUCAUGAACAUAAGGCUGCUUCACUGCUCCAAAUAAAGCUCCUACAAAAUGUAGAAGCUGUCCCGCUUCUUUGUGUUUGAAUCUCUUCAGUUGAGUACUGUUGUAUAAUUAGGAUAAACAGGACACAUCCAUCUAAACUGAGCUUUAUCCUAAUUAUAAUUUCAGAGCUAAUUUUUUUGGUUCUCGUUGAUUUGAAUGGCAACCAGGACAAUGUACAUGGCAGCAGUUUUGGGGAGCAUGUGAGUUCACGUCGAUGAUAAUCAAGGUGAGUACUGAUAUGUAAUGUCUAAAGCUUUUGUAUUUAGAAUAAAAUGUUAUAGUCACCUGCAUGAAAACCUCUUGCUGUGAAAUGCCUAUACAAUCCUUUUUGUAUGUUGCAUGGGAACCAUACAAGAUUUGUGCUUAGACACACAUAGAACUUUUGGGAUCAGUGAUAGGCUGUUCGAAUGAUUAGUUCACCAUAAGGAUUUUUGUUAGUUUCAUUAGUCUAUGCUAUUACUGUGUAAGACAUGCUCCAAAAAGCAUAAAUCUUACCACUGAAUUAGGUCUAUUUAGUUGCUGCAUUGCUACAAAGAAAUUAUGAUCAAGCACUGCAAUUUUAUUCUGUGCAAUUACUCAUCUAGAAUACAUUUAAUUGAUGUUAUUGAAUUGCCAAAACUUACCUUCAUUAUCUUUUUCUGUUUAAAUUCUGAAUGUAAUUGCAGGUACACUUUGUGUGGUACAUAUUUUAGCUUCAAUGAAAUUUAGAGAGAAAUGCAGCUUUCAUAUUUUCUUUCUUAUCUGCACUUCUUACCUAGCGAUGAUAUCAAAUCAUUAACUCUGCGAGGACUUAUAUUUG